CGACGGCAGCACGGGGGCAACCCUGGUGGCGAGUGGCGAACGGGUGAGUAAUGUAUCGGAACAUGUCCGGAAGUGGGGGAUAACGUAGCGAAAGUUACGCUAAUACCGCAUAUGCCCUGAGGGGGAAAGGAGGGGAUCGCAAGACCUUUCGCUUUCGGAGUGGCCGAUAUCAGAUUAGCUAGUUGGUGAGGUAAAGGCUCACCAAGGCGACGAUCUGUAGCUGGUCUGAGAGGACGACCAGCCACACUGGGACUGAGACACGGCCCAGACUCCUACGGGAGGCAGCAGUGGGGAAUUUUGGACAAUGGGGGCAACCCUGAUCCAGCCAUGCCGCGUGAGUGAAGAAGGCCUUCGGGUUGUAAAGCUCUUUCAGCCGGAAAGAAAUCGUGCAGAUUAAUACUCUGCAUGGAUGACGGUACCGGAAGAAGAAGCACCGGCUAACUACGUGCCAGCAGCCGCGGUAAUACGUAGGGUGCGAGCGUUAAUCGGAAUUACUGGGCGUAAAGCGUGCGCAGGCGGUUUUGUAAGACAGACGUGAAAUCCCCGGGCUUAACCUGGGAACUGCGUUUGUGACUGCAAGGCUAGAGUAUGGCAGAGGGGGGUAGAAUUCCACGUGUAGCAGUGAAAUGCGUAGAGAUGUGGAGGAAUACCGAUGGCGAAGGCAGCCCCCUGGGUCAAUACUGAC
rnacentral:rRNA from 1 species